rnacentral:rRNA from 1 species
ACGUGCCGCACUAAGGCGAAACCGCGAAUGGCUCAUUAAAUCAGUUAUGGUUCCUUGGAUCGUACCUUACUACUUGGAUAACUGUGGCAAUUCUAGAGCUAAUACAUGCAGCAGAGCUCCGACCUUCGGGGACGAGCGCUUUUAUUAGACCAAAACCAAUCGGACCUCGCGUCCGUAGAUUGUGGUGACUCUGUAUAACUUUGGGCUGAUCGCACGGGCCCGUCCCGGCGACGUAUCCUUCAAGUGUCUGCCUUAUCAACUUUCGAUGGUAGGUUACGCGCCUACCAUGGUCGUAACGGGUAACGGGGAAUCAGGGUUCGAUUCCGGAGAGGGAGCCUGAGAAACGGCUACCACAUCCAAGGAAGGCAGCAGGCGCGCAAAUUACCCACUCCCGGAACGGGGAGGUAGUGACGAAAAAUAACAAUACGGGACUCUUUUGUGACCCCGUAAUUGGAAUGAGUACACUCUAAAUCCUUUAACAAUGAUCAAUUGGAGGGCAAGUCUGGUGCCAGCAGCCGCGGUAAUUCCAGCUCCAAUAGCGUAUAUUAAAGUUGUUGCGGUUAAAAAGCUCGUAGUUGGAUCUCAGUUCCAGACGGGUGGUCCGCCUACCGGCGGCUACUGCCUGUUCUGAACAGCCGGCCGGUUUCUCUUGAUGAUCUUCACCGGUUGUCUUGGGUGACCGGCAAGUUUACUUUGAAAAAAUUAGAGUGCUCAAAGCAGGCGUGACGCCUGGAUAAUGGUGCAUGGAAUAAUGGAAUAGGACCUCGGUUCUAUUUUGUUGGUUUUCGGAACACGAGGUAAUGAUUAAGAGGGACAGACGGGGGCAUUCGUAUUGCGACGCUAGAGGUGAAAUUCUUGGACCGUCGCAAGACGAACUACUGCGAAAGAUUUUG